rnacentral:rRNA from 1 species
UGGGGAAUAUUGGACAAUGGGCGCAAGCCUGAUCCAGCCAUGCCGCGUGAGUGAUGAAGGCCUUAGGGUUGUAAAGCUCUUUCGACGGGGACGAUAAUGACGGUACCCGUAGAAGAAGCCCCGGCUAACUUCGUGCCAGCAGCCGCGGUAAUACGAAGGGGGCUAGCGUUGCUCGGAAUCACUGGGCGUAAAGCGCACGUAGGCGGAUCUUUAAGUCAGAGGUGAAGUCCCAAGGCUCAACCUUGGAACUGCCUUUGAUACUGGGGAUCUCGAGUCCGGAAGAGGUGAGUGGAACUGCGAGUGUAGAGGUGAAAUUCGUAGAUAUUCGCAAGAACACCAGUGGCGAAGGCGGCUCACUGGUCCGGUACUGACGCUGAGGUGCGAAAGCGUGGGGGGCGAAACAGGAUUAGAUACCCUGGUAGUCCACGCCGUAAACGAUGAAUGCUAGCCGUUGGGGAGGCUUGCUCUUCAGUGGCGCAGCUAACGCUUUAAGCUAC